rnacentral:rRNA from 1 species
UACGGAAUGUGCAAACGUUAUUCGGAAUCACUGGGCUUAAAGAGUCCGUAGGCGGCCUGUUAGGUGAGGUGUGAAAUCCCUCGGCCCAACCGAGGAAUUGCGCUUCAAACCGGCAGGCUAGAGGAGGAUAGAGGUGGGCGGAACUGAUGGUGGAGCGGUGAAAUGCGUUGAUAUCAUCAGGAACACCGGAGGCGAAAGCGGUCCACUGGGUCCUUUCUGACGCUGAGGGACGAAAGCUAGGGGAGCGAACGGG